rnacentral:rRNA from 1 species
AGUGAACGCUGGCGGUAGGCCUAACACAUGCAAGUCGAACGGCAGCACAGGAGAGCUUGCUCUCUGGGUGGCGAGUGGCGGACGGGUGAGGAAUACAUCGGAAUCUACUUUUUCGUGGGGGAUAACGUAGGGAAACUUACGCUAAUACCGCAUACGACCUACGGGUGAAAGCAGGGGAUCUUCGGACCUUGCGCGAUUGAAUGAGCCGAUGUCGGAUUAGCUAGUUGGCGGGGUAAAGGCCCACCAAGGCGACGAUCCGUAGCUGGUCUGAGAGGAUGAUACGCCACACUGGAACUGAGACACGGUCCAGACUCCCACGGGAGGCAGCAGUGGCGAAUAUUGGACAAUGGGCGCAAGCCUGAUCCAGCCAUACCGCGUGGGUGAAGAAGGCCUUCGGGUUGUAAAGCCCUUUUGUUGGGAAAGAAGUCCAGCUGGUUAAUACCCGGUUGGGAUGACGGUACCCAAAGAAUAAGCACCGGCUAACUUCGUGCCAGCCGCCGCCGUAA